UACGGGGGGGGCAAGCGUUGUUCGGAAUUACUGGGCGUAAAGGGCUCGUAGGCGGCCAACUAAGUCAGACGUGAAAUCCCUCGGCUUAACCGGGGAACUGCGUCUGAUACUGGAUGGCUUGAGUGUGGGAGAGGGAUGCGGAAUUCCAGGUGUAGCGGUGAAAUGCGUAGAUAUCUGGAGGAACACCGGUGGCGAAGGCGGCAUCCUGGACCACGACUGACGCUGAGGAGCGAAAGCCAGGGGAGCAAACAGG
rnacentral:rRNA from 1 species